rnacentral:rRNA from 1 species
GAGAGUUUGAUCCUGGCUCAGGACGAACGCUGGCGGCGCGCCUAACACAUGCAAGUCGAACGAGCGAGAGAGAGCUUGCUUUCUCGAGCGAGUGGCGAACGGGUGAGUAACGCGUGAGGAACCUGCCUCAAAGAGGGGGACAACAGUUGGAAACGACUGCUAAUACCGCAUAAGCCCACGGUGCCGCAUGGCACAGAGGGAAAAGGAGUAAUCCGCUUUGAGAUGGCCUCGCGUCCGAUUAGCUAGUUGGUGAGGUAACGGCCCACCAAGGCGACGAUCGGUAGCCGGACUGAGAGGUUGAACGGCCACAUUGGGACUGAGACACGGCCCAGACUCCUACGGGAGGCAGCAGUGGGGAAUAUUGCACAAUGGGGGAAACCCUGAUGCAGCGACGCCGCGUGGAGGAAGAAGGUCUUCGGAUUGUAAACUCCUGUUGUUGGGGAAGAUAAUGACGGUACCCAACAAGGAAGUGACAGCUAACUACGUGCCAGCAGCCGCGGUAAAACGUAGGUCACAAGCGUUGUCCGGAAUUACUGGGUGUAAAGGGAGCGCAGGCGGGAAGACAAGUUGGAAGUGAAAUCUAUGGGCUCAACCCAUAAACUGCUUUCAAAACUGUUUUUCUUGAGUAGUGCAGAGGUAGGCGGAAUUCCCGGUGUAGCGGUGGAAUGCGUAGAUAUCGGGAGGAACACCAGUGGCGAAGGCGGCCUACUGGGCACCAACUGACGCUGAGGCUCGAAAGUGUGGGUAGCAAACAGGAUUAGAUACCCUGGUAGUCCACACCGUAAACGAUGAUUACUAGGUGUUGGAGGAUUGACCCCUUCAGUGCCGCAGUUAACACAAUAAGUAAUCCACCUGGGGAGUACGACCGCAAGGUUGAAACUCAAAGGAAUUGACGGGGGCCCGCACAAGCAGUGGAGUAUGUGGUUUAAUUCGACGCAACGCGAAGAACCUUACCAAGUCUUGACAUCCCUUGACAGACAUAGAAAUAUAUAAUCUCUUCGGAGCAAGGAGACAGGUGGUGCAUGGUUGUCGUCAGCUCGUGUCGUGAGAUGUUGGGUUAAGUCCCGCAACGAGCGCAACCCUUAUGGUCAGUUACUACGCAAGAGGACUCUGGCCAGACUGCCGUUGACAAAACGGAGGAAG